rnacentral:misc_RNA from 1 species
AGUGUGUGCAAGUGUAGUCAUGGCUGUCUGACAAAACAUUCGAAAUAACAAGAAUUUAUAUAGUAGUUGGUUAUCAAAAGUAUCAUGUCGAGUUUCUUACGAAGAACAAUACUGUCCUGAUUUAAAUUCCGAAGAGUUUAUUAGUGACAUAGUAAUAAAGCCUCCAUUCAAAUCUAUGUACAUCGAGGUGUACUUUGUAGAUAUUGUUGAGAAUAAUAAUAAAUAAGUGGAUAGCAAUUGUGGAUCAGGAAGGAAGUACGGAGUUCAAGGCGCAGUGAGCGUGAACCUACAAGGUUCUCUUCUGAAAUCUUGUUAAACGAACGUCGCGUCUAACGACCACCGACGAUCGAUUACGCAAGAUGACCAUUCUGUCGAAGAAGAAGACGAACGCCUCAAAAGAUAGACGAGAAGGAGGCAGCACUUCCGAAGUCGAUGUUCACGGAGUGCAAAACGAGCAUAGCUCCGGAUCCAUCGCACUACCUAAUAGCCCAUAUCAGGUACGUGCAGCGAACGGUUUCGCGGUCGAUCUACACGGGGUACAGACCGAUCACGGAUCUGGUUCUAUCGUUCUUACAGGAAACUCGUACGAGUCAAGUGUAGAUCGUCGAGAAGAUAAGCAUUUUGAAGAAGGAAGUGGUCCCAGUCAUGGUAAACGUCACAGGCAACGAGCAAGUCCACACAGUGGUUGCAUUGGAAGAAAUUCACGUUCAAAACGUGAAAGAGAAAGAGAUAGGGGUCGAGAAAGAGAUAGAGAAAGAGAAAGAGAACACGAACGACAAGCUACACCUCCUACUGCUUCUUGCAGUGGCUUACAAGCUACAGAUGGUGGUGUCAUAGCCACCAAUCGAAUGGCUAUUGGAGCUACUGCAAAUUUAGAACAUGAAUCAGCUAAUGGUUAUAAUAGUGGUGAUGAAUAUACUGGCAGAACUGGAAAUAAUCUUACAUUAGCUGAGUGGCAAGAGCGUGAUAGGUGGUUUGAGAAACGAAUGCGGAAAAUGGGAUUUAUUGUCAAAAAGAUGGGUGAAGAUGGAGCAUGUCUAUUUAGAGCUGUUGCAGAUCAAGUUUAUGGUGAUCAAGAAAUGCAUGGUGUAGUACGGAAACAUUGCAUGGAUUAUAUUGCAUCCAAUCAGGAGUUUUUUUCUCACUUUGUAGCAGAAGAUUUUAGCACAUAUGUAGAUAGGAAACGACAAGAAUAUGUACAUGGAAAUCAUAUAGAGAUGCAAGCAAUGUCUGAAAUGUAUAAUCGUAGCAUUCAAUUAUAUUGCUACAGUACUGAACCAAUUAAUAUUUUCCGUACAAUGGUUGAAAGUGAUAAUGAACCUAUACGAUUGUCUUAUCAACGUGGUAGCCAUUAUAAUAGCAUAGUAGAUCCAUAUAAAGCUACAAUUGGUGUUGGUCUUGGCCUACCGUCAUACAACCCCGGAGCCGCAGAUCGGCAACUUAUAUCAGAUGCAGUACGUCAAAGUGAAGAAUUGCAUAUUGAACAGACAAUGUUAGAAGAUAAAAUAAAAGCAACUGACUGGGAAGCAACAAAUGAAGCCAUAGAAGAACAAGUUGCCAGGGAGAGUUAUUUGCAAUGGUUAAGGGAUAAUGAGAUGCGAAAAGCUCGAUCAGCCAGUAGCAGCAGUACAAGUACGGUAACAAGUGCGCAACACAGUCACGCGCAUUUUCACCCUCACGGAGGUCGUGGUCAACAACGUAGCCACACUUCUUCUCCGACCACGACUCAAACUAGCCAAGAUAAUUUGCGUAAUUCUCCAAAAAUAAACGAUUCGGUGAGGUACAAUAAAAGAUCUCCGCAACACCAGUCAGCCCAAGGAUCUAGUAUGUCUCAUCUUGCUUCAGACUUUGAAUCGAAAAUUUCUCAAGAACCUGUGCCAGGUAGCAGUAAAGAGGUUCAUGCUUCUCCGGACAUCUCGUUAUUCAAUCGUCUUCCUCCUGAAGUAUUUGGUUUAACUGAUUGGGAAGACAGUGAUAUACUCACACAAGUUCUAGCUACAUCACAGCAAGAAUACUUGGACAGCUUAAAACAAUCACGGAGUUCUACCUCCUCUGGAAAUGAUACUAAUAAUAUAUUAGAUUCCAGUAAUAGUUAAUUUUUAAAAUUGUUAUUGAUAAAGUUCAAAGAAAUACUGAAGCUAAAGUAUAUGCAUUUGUAUGCAGCGUUUUUCAUAGGAUGUGAUAUAUCCGAAAAAUAAGAUAGUUGUAAAUCAAAAAAUGAAGCAAUUCUUAGUGUUAUCACAUGGUCAUUAGUCACUGAGAGACAUUGAUAGUUAUGUUGAAUGCAUGCCUAAUAAACUUAAUUAUCGGCAGCAAACCGUGUCACAUUGAUUUAUAUUAAGAUCAUCAGUACGUCAAAACUGAUUCGAGCUGAGAUAUAUACCGAAUUUCUAAAGAAACGGUUGGAUUUAGCACAAGAACAGUAUAAAACAUCAAUACCCC